rnacentral:lncRNA from 1 species
CAACGAAAAUGGACACAAAUGAGUUCUUUGUGGUUCGUAAGUAUGCACGGAAGCAUACUUGCGAAGUGUGUAUUCGUCGAAAUGAUCACAGGCAAGCCAGAUCAUGGUCCAUUGGUCGAGAAGUAAUGCACAAGUUUCAGGACCCACGAACAAUCUACAGACCUUCAGACAUUAUUAAUGACGUUCGUCGAGAGUACGGGGUGGUCAUGAGCUAUCAGAAGGCUUGGAAGGCCAAAGAAUGCACGUUGGAGGAUUUGAUGGGUUCAAUCGAGAAGAGUUAUGCUAAAUUGGCUAGGUAUUUCUUUGUUUAAAUGUUUAUUUAAUAGUUAUCUAAUUAAUUCAAUCAUUAAUUUCAAUUGUUUGUUUAAUUAUUUAUUGAUUCUUUAUUUAAUGUGUAAUUAAUUAUUUAAUUCAAUUGUUAAUUUUUCAGUUUUUUAAUAUUGUUUAUUUAAUUAUUUAAAUUAUGAUUAUUGUUUAUUUAAUUGGUCAGGUUUUUCUAUAACAUGGGAAGAAUUAAUACUGAAUCGAUAUUUUUUAUUGAGAAGGAUGACGAGAAUCGCUUCAAGUAUUUCUUUAUGACCCUUGGACAAUACGUUCGAGGAUUUCGAAACUCAAUGCGACCCUUAAUCCUAGUCAACGGUACAACCCUCAAGGCGAGAUAUGGGGCAAGUUGAUUAUUGCAACAUGUCAAGAUACUAACAUCCAAAUUUACCCUCUUGCAUUCGGCAUAAUUGACGGAGAAAAUGAUUUGGCAAUGCGUUGGUUUUUCACGAAGUUGAGGAAAGUAAUUGGGGAUGUCGAGAACCUUACAUUCAUAACCGACCGGGGGCAGUCAAUAAUUAACGGUAUCUCCGAAGUCUUCUCCGAGGCACAUCAUGGUUAUUGUAUGUACCAUAUACAAGGAAAUUUGAAAAACAAGUAUCGAGGCAAGGGUAUUGUUACGUUGUUUAGGAGAGCUGCAGAGGCU